rnacentral:rRNA from 1 species
CACACUGGAACUGAGACACGGUCCAGACUCCUACGGGAGGCAGCAGUAGGGAAUCUUCCGCAAUGGGCGAAAGCCUGACGGAGCAACGCCGCGUGAGUGAUGAAGGUCUUCGGAUCGUAAAACUCUGUUAUUAGGGAAGAACAAACGUGUAAGUAACUGUGCACGUCUUGACGGUACCUAAUCAGAAAGCCACGGCUAACUACGUGCCAGCAGCCGCGGUAAUACGUAGGUGGCAAGCGUUAUCCGGAAUUAUUGGGCGUAAAGCGCGCGUAGGCGGUUUUUUAAGUCUGAUGUGAAA